rnacentral:misc_RNA from 1 species
CUGAGUGAGGGCCCUCGGCCCGACCUCCCAACCCUUUGUCGUUCGACUCUGUUGCCUCGGGGGCGACCCGGCCGCCUCGGCCGGCCAGCCCCCGCGGGUCCACAUCUCAACUCCGCGUCUGAAGCGUCUGAGUCUGAUACUUAAAUAUCAAUUA